rnacentral:rRNA from 1 species
AUGACGUCCUGGCCCAAUAGUAACAUGACCUUGGACGACGAUGACGAGCUCAUGAGCGAGUUCAGCAGCAUGCAGAUGGAGUAUUUCCAAACUCCUGACACUGUGAUAGACUCAAGCUUUUGUGGGCUUGUGACUGAAUCUGACAGAAUGUGCAUCCCGCACAGGCAGAGGGCAGGCAAGUUUGUGGCAUUUGAAGGCACUGACACUGGCAGGAGAUUCAUCGGAUCUGCUAUGAAAGAUGGUGUGCACUGUGGUGUUCUGGAGUGGGUAGAUUCCCCUAGCCUAUAA